rfam:Virgibacillus pantothenticus strain DSM 26 super1, whole genome shotgun sequence.
AUAAAAGAAUAUGAUGUACCGUAGACAGCAGGGGCAAAUAUCCGCUUAAUCAUCCUGCCGAGGUGUUUAUAGAUAAAUUGGAUAUUUAUGUUUUUCCAAUGAAUUGGUAAGCUCUCAUGUCUGCGUGAGAGCUUUUUAUUUACACUU